UUUCCGUAGGUGAACCUGCGGAAGGAUCAUUAAUAAUAGUGUUUUAUGGCACUUUUUUAAAUCCAUAUCCACCUUGUGUGCAAUGUCAGGGUUGAUUUGUCUCUCGAGAGGAUCAGCCCCAAAAAUCAACUAUAACACAACUCUUUGUCUGAAAGAUAUUAUGAAGAAAACAAUUCAAAAUACAACUUUCAACAACGGAUCUCUUGGCUCUC
rnacentral:misc_RNA from 1 species